GGAUGCGAUCAUACCAGCACUAAAGCAUCGGAUCCCAUCAGAACUCCGAAGUUAAGCGUGCUUGGGCGAGAGUAGUACUAGGAUGGGUGACCUCCUUGGAAGUCCUCGUGUUGCAUUCC
rnacentral:rRNA from 16 species